rnacentral:rRNA from 1 species
UACGUAGGUGACCAGCGUUGUCCGGAUUUACUGGGCGUAAAGAGCGCGUAGGCGGCUCGUUAAGUGAGAAGUGAAAGCUGUGGGCUCAACCCACAAACCGCUUUUCAUACUGGCGAGCUGGAGUGAUGCAGAGGUGGAUAGAAUUCCCGGUGUAGCGGUGAAAUGCGUUGAUAUCGGGAGGAAUACCCGUGGCGAAGGCGGUCCACUGGGCAUCAACUGACGCUGAGGCGCGAAAGCGUGGGUAGCAAACAGG